rnacentral:lncRNA from 1 species
GCAGAUCUUCUUCCAGACAUAGAUUCCUUAUAUGCAGAUGAGGCUGGUGCUCGUGUUAGAAUUGACUGUCGAGAAGUUCUAAGGAGAUUGGGGGACUCUGUAAGGGCAGCAUUUCUCGAAUUUGAAAAUGCUAUUUCAACAAACACCUCAACAAACGCUAUUGCAGGAGGUGGAAUUCAUCCUCUCACCAAGUAUGUUAUGAAUUACCUCAAUGCUCUCACUGGCUACCGGGAAACUCUCAAUUUUCUCCUCAAGGACCAAGAUGGAGAGGAUACCAUGUCAUUGUCCCCUGACAUUAAUCCAUCAACAGAAGAAGAGAACGCUAGAGAAGGUGCAUGCGAUGGUUCACCACUGGCUCUCCACUUCCGAUCAGUUGCUUCAAUUCUAGAAUGCAAUCUUGAUGACAAGGCCAAGCUAUAUAGAGAUGCUUCUUUGCAGCACAUAUUCUUGAUGAACAACAUUCAUUACAUGGCUCAAAAAGUUAUGAAUUCGAAUCUUCAGUCUAUACUUGGAGAUGGGUGGAUUCGAAAGCACAACUGGAAAUUCCAGCAGCACGAGAUAAACUAUGAAAGAAAUACCUGGAGUUCUAUCCUCGCUAUACUGAAGGAAGAGGGGAAUUCCAAUUCUUCAAGAACUCUUCUCAAGGAAAGGUUUCGGAAUUUUUAUACUGCUUUUGAAGAGGUUUACAGGACACAGACAGUGGUAAUCCCAAAUGCUCAUCUACGAGAAGAUUUGCGAAUCUCAACAUCCCUCAAGGUGAUCCAAGCUUACCGGACAUUUGUCGGAAGACAUACAAAUCAAAUUAGUGACAAGCACAUCAAGUACAGUGCAGAUGAUUUACAGAAUUACUUGUUGGAUCUCUUUGAGGGGUCUCAAAGAUCAUUGCACAAUCCCCACAGGAGAUCAUAGAGUCAUUUCUUAAAACCUGGGUUUAGGCUUUUAGUUUUAUACCUCCUCUGCUAUUGUAAUAUUUUCUUUCUCCCCCGCUCUUCUAACUUGCACUUGAUCGAUAAACGGGCCAAGGUGGCCUGGCUCGUACCAUCACUAGCCAAAAUGCCUGAGAAAUCUCGGUUCUACAAUAUGUAAUGUAUGAGUGGAAUAAAAAUAAAAAAAAAAGGUUUAUCCGGUAUCAUUGUCCUCGUGGCUAACAUAAACUGGUUAGAUUGUGAUUGCACAAUCCCCACAGCAGUUUUGGUUGCAUCUUUGUCCAUUAUAUAUUAACCUCGAGGACAGCUUUUGUUUCCAAUGUCGCCUGCUCUCUCUCUGUUCGAUGAAUAAACACCACGGUAUAAUUUCUUUAUUUUCUUAGAAAUAUCGAAAUCAAAUUUCCCAGAAGACAAACUCUGUAACCAUAUCACCACAGCAAGGCUUCGAUUGAAUGCUGGGAUGUAACACAUAACUGAUCCAAUCAGGUACGAUGGCGGUGCCCAGUUCAUUAACUGGGCUGCCAUUUGGAACACGUUCCUUGCAAGUUGCUGCUGCAGUUGCCAGCUAACAUAUGGUGACCUCCUGGAAGGAGUCACUAAAUGGAAGAACUGGGGCCAUGAGGUUGACUGCAAUCCCCGAUCUCUGAACCUUACCAGCCACAUGAACCCUCAACGCAGCAGACAGGCAAUUCGUUCUAAAAUGGUUGUUGUGUCUUUGAUAUAUCAAAAUUGGCUGCUUAAAACGAGGACCGAGUUGAGAGGGAAAGUUGAGUGUUCUUGAGAAAUGGUUUUGUCUGCAAGCACAUAUGAUGUUAGUCCUCCUCCUACACAAGGAAGGAUGGCAGCAAGAAAACAAGAUCAGGUGGGGACAUUUGCAAUUAUAUACAUGUUAGCCCAUCACUGUCUGGAUUCUGGAAAGAUGAUAACAGGGUAGAGCGCGUUAUUCUCUUAUGAAAUUUCCCAAGUGAAAGAGACUUGAACAUGAGCAAAUUGAAAAUCUGUACGCCCUACCUGUUAAAUAAAAGCAGUCUUUAUGACGCAACGCCAUCUGAUACAUUUCCAAGAAAAUGAACUUGGAGCUCUAAAGGUUUGCCACUCACAUAGAUUAUCUGUUGGUCCGAGCAAUCAAGAUAUAGAAACAUCAGUUUCGGUUAUUUAUGCCAAUAAACCCAACUUAGUGUUUUAAAUUAUAGUAGAUUUUUAUUUUUUAAGUUUUUUGUUUUGAAAAAAUAUGAAAAUAAUAUUUUUUUAUUUUUUAAAAAUUUACUUUUAAUAUUAUUAUGGAUCUAAACAAUCUAAAAAUAUAAAACAAAUUAAUUAAAAAUUAAAAAAUAUGACUGGGCCACCCAAAUAAACAUUAAUUUUACUUAUUAAUAAAUUUGAUCCCUUCACUUUUAAAUAAUAAAUAUAAUAUACUCGAGUAACUAUUAAUAACCUUUCUUCCUAUUUUAAAUUUAUAUUGUCAAGAUUUUUUUUCAUAAUAUUAGUCAUCACGUUUCAUUUUUUUUUAUUUAAAUAUCAAGAUAUAACAAUAAACUUGAAUGUCCUAUCUUCAAAUAACGACUUAGACAGACUAUUCUAUUUCACUUUUUUUUUUUUUUAAGUACAUGGUUGAGCUGUACAGGCAAUGUACCUGACUCGCUUCACAACAGCACCGAGACAGUCAACGAGGAAGAAUGGACUAGAAAUUUGAGAUGUCUCGUGUAUAGUCAAACGGUGCACUUUACAGAAUAUCUGUAUCAUAUGCUCGUUAGUGAUCAACAAGCAUAGAAAGUCUCUCUUAUUUUUCGUAACUUAUAAAGAGACAAUAAUCAUAAGUAAAUAAUUAAUUUUUACAUAUAAAUGUUUCAAAAUAUUCCUCAUUAUCAAAUAUAUAAUAAUAAUAAUAAAUAUUGUUAAAUUUAAUUAGUAUGACUACUUGACUUAGAAACUUGAUGAAUUAAAAUCUGUUUGUUUUUGUGGCAGUACUAUAUUUUAAAAAAUUUAUAUUAGUAAAAAACUUAGUUUUAAAGUUUGGCUCACUGAUCCAAUCUAGAUUUACGAGUUAUAAGAUAGCAGGUCAAUCAUUUCAAUAAUAUUUAACAGAUUAAUUACCUUAAUAUAUAACAUUAAAACUAAAUUAAAUCAAUUACAUGAGAGUUUUAAUGAGUUGGUAAAGAUUUUGUUUAGUUAACCUAAGCCUGUCUAAGUUUUAAUUACUACUUUAAGCAAUUUGUUUUCUUUUUUAAUUUUUUACUAGAUUGGAUCUUGGUGGAGUUUUUAUCGGAUCAAUUGAAUUUAUUAAAUCAAUAGUUAAUUUAGGAUCUAUUUGAGAUUGCGGUUCAAAUGAAAGUCAGUUAAAAUUUAAUUUUAAAAAAAUAAUUAUUUUUUUCAUGUUUUUCAUGUUGUUUUGAUGUAUUAAUAUUAGAAAUAAUUUUUUAAAAAUAAAAAAUAUUAUUUUAAUAUAUUUACAAGUAAAAAAUACUUUGAAAAUCACUUUCAAACACACUUUUUUUUUAAAAAAAAAAUUAAAUUAAGUUUCAUGGGGCGUGUUUGAUUGCAGGAAAGUGAAUUCCUGGAAUUCACUUUCGUUGUUUUUUCAUGUUUGGCAACAAUAUGGAAAAACAGUCAAAGGAAACUGAAUUCCAGUCAAACCUAAAAAAGUAACGUUACCAAAGGAAAAUGUUUUCCUUCUGUUAAAUAAAGAAAAACACUUUUCUUUUUCUUUUUUCAGCUCGUUCAUUCUCUCAUUAGACAGUGAGAACUUUUUCUUCUCAAAAUCACACAAUCUCUUUUUCUUCAAAAUCAAUUAAAAGCUGAGUAGGAACAAGAGCAAUUUUCUACUACUGUCAUAUUUUUUCCAUAACAUUUCCAUAACUCUUCAUCUUAUCUCGUCACAUUCCUAAGUUAAUCAAGCAACAAAAAAAAAAACACAUUUUUUCUACUACUGUUUUCUUCUUCAUGAAUCACAAUCGGCAGCUCACUAACCACAGACAAAACCGGGGGGGAGGGGGAGAGAUAACUGUGAACAGAGAGAGGCAAAACUGUUAGGGGGCAAUUUCUAUGAACAGUGAGGCAAAACAGGGGGGCAUUUCUGUUAACAUUGAGAGGCAAAACAAGGAGGAUUUCUGUUAACAUGGAAAGGCAACACGGUGGGGGGGGGGGGAUCAAUUUAUAUAAACAGAGAGAGGCCAAAACGGCGGGGGGGGGCGAUCGAUUUCUGUGAGAUUAAAACGAGGGGGGUGAUCGAUUUUUGUGAGGGGGGCGAUUUCUGUUGGGGGCAAUCGAUCUGUUGCAAAGAGAGACAAAACCGGGGUGGGGGGGGGAGGCGAUCGAUCUGUUAGCAAAGAGAGACAAAACGGGGGGGGGGAGAUUUCUGCUCUCUUUUACAGUGAACCCUUGCUCUCUUUAGUGAUUUCGGUCAACUUUACAAACAAAAUGGGAAAUUGGGGGAACUGAACCGAGAGGAGAGGGGAAUGGGAACAAUGAAAUUGUUGAAUGGUAAUGGGGAAUUAUACAAACCAGUUAUAACGAAAUUAUAGGGAAAAUGAGGAAUGAAUAACAGGGAAAAUGGAAAAUGGGAGGGGAAUGAAACAAUGCAAUUGGGGAUGUUAAUGGGGAAUUAUACAAACCGGUUAUAACAGGGGAAAUGGGAAAUGAAUAUAACAGGGAAAAUAAGGAAUUAUAAAAACCAAUAGGGUGUGGGGAAUGGGUGGGGAAUGGGAGAAUAAGAUGGGAACAACGAAAUUAUAACAAAACCCUAAUAAAAUAUAAAUUUGUGUUUUAUUUUGCUUUGAUUAAUUUAUGAUUAGUGUUUGAUUAUAUUUGUUAUAUAUGGAUAAAUUUGUGCGACUAUGCCGGUAAUUAUAUGGAUUUCAUUGCGUAAUAUCUAUUGAUCGUUGUGAACUUAUGAAAUGUAUAAUUUUCAUAAGCUAUGUAUGAAUAUAUGAUAUAAUAAAAAAAAUUCAUCAUUAUACUUUUUAGAUUUCAUUUUUUUCUUGUAAGUGAUUAAAUAUUUUAUAUAUAUUAGAUAAACUUGAAAAAAAAAUUAAUUCAUUAAUAAAUUAUUUUCCAAUUCGUUUUCCAUAACACAACCAAACACUGUAAAUUAUUUUUCAGUUCAUUUUUCAUAAUACUACCAAACAUCGAAAAAUAUUUUUUUGAAAUUCACUUUUUAAAAGAAAACAACUUUCCUGCAAACAAACGAAGCCUUAACUUGUUUUUAGAUUCGACCACCAUGGUAGAAAGCCCAAAUGAUCUCACAUGGAUGCAUUUGGGUUUGGAUUAAACUUGCGAUUUUUUAUUAUUGGGCCUUCUAUCUGUUCUUCGUAAGUAUUUUGAUGGAUGUUCCUUCGCGCCUGUACUCCUUCGGGCCUUAUUAAUCCAAGAAACUUUCCCUCCGAAUCAAAGAGCAGAGAAAUUUCCAAACAAGAGACCUCAAUCAAUCAAAGAAGUUAAAAAGAAUAUAUUUGUUUGACUUUUUGUUUUAAAUGCACGUGAAACAGUGAAAGUGCCACGCACUGCGAGGACACUUCCUGUUUCCCUGUCGGAAAGAAAUGUUGUCGUAUCUGCGUAAGACCAUUAUAGUUGAAUCUGGUCAACACUUUUUACUGUAUAGAAAAAGAAGAGCCGAUAGAGACGGUGGCUCCAGUGUCUGCUUAAGUUGAUAAAAAGCUCCAAAGCUCCGAAAGAAAGGUCAGUUUUAGCUUUUAGUAUUCUCAGGAAAUUAAAUCGGAUGCUUGCUUGUUCAUCUCUUGACUGCAAAAUCUAAAAUCUGCUUUGUCCUUCCAUUCCUUGCUUUGUUUGAUUGUCUUUAGCUUGUCUUGGCCCUGUUCAUUUCAGAUAUGUUUAUGUUUAUUAUGCCUUCAUAUGCCAUGAUCUUGAGACUGUGAGCAUGUAUCAAUGAUUCUUAAAGAUUGAAUAAUGAUCCUCUCAAGAAAAUUAAUAAUAAAUAAAACAAAAUAACAUGUCUAUAUAUAUAUAAGGAGAUAAAUAUUCUCUUUAUAUGGAGUUUUUUUUAAAAAAAACAAUUUUGACAUUUUGAAUUUCUUAAAAGAGAAGAUAAUAUAUUUAAUAAUUAUUAAUAAUUUCUUUUUAAUAUAUCUGAUGAUUAUUAAUAAAAUUUAAAGAUAUUUUUGUCGAAAUUUAUGGAAAUGCACGCGCGCGCGCGCACAAGUGAAUUGGGUUUCAAUGUUUUUUUAUCACUGGUGAGCUGUCUACUGAUACGGUUGAUCAUAGUGAUUCUUUCUAGUGUACUGAAAGUUUUCAUUCUUCUGGUCUUAAGCUUAUGCAAUUAUUUUCAUUUUCUUUCCUGUAAUCAGUUCUUGAAUCGCGGUGCUUAAUUGCAACAAGCACUCAAGAUUUCCAUCACUGGUUACUUGCUAGAGAACUCCAGCAAAAGAGUUUAUAUUCCGGUUUGGAAAGGUAAUGUUCUAAAUUUCCAGCCAACAGACUAGCAUUUAGUGCUGUGAUUUUUGGGAAUCGAAGUCUAUAGCUGAGAGUUUAGAGGCUACUUUAGCAACGUCAAAGAUAAGGUAAUCUUAGAGGUGCAGUUGAAAUUCAGGAUUUGUGGUUCAAUAUUCUGAUUAUUGACUAUCGAGGUUGUGAUUGUUGGUGAUCUUCGAUUUGUAAUCUAUGGGGGACCCUGACAUGGUGGUUCCAGAAUUAGAAGGGGAAGGAAACCUUAUUGCUGCGGUGAAGCAAACUAUGAUGGCAUUAAGAUCAAGAAAGAAUCUUACAGAUGACGAGAUGGAGAUUUUGGGCGACCUUCAUACCCAAUUAACUACCACAAUCACAAUCGGCGACAGAAAGGCUGAUGAAAAUAACAAGAUUGAAGAAAGGCUAAAUGUUAUUGAGGAGAAGAUUAUGAGAUGGGAUAGACAUUGGCCUAUGAUCUGGGACUCGCAUCUUGAUCAAGCUACUGCGUAUCUGAAUGCUGCUGGUGAAGUCCGAGAGCUGAAUGAAAGACUGGAGACUUUGUGUCGGAAUGAUGACAGCGAAAAGAAGAUGCUACAGAGGGCUCAAAAAGUUCUUCAACUGGCAAUGAAAAGGCUUGAGGAGGUGUUCAAGCACACGCUUGUUGAAAACAGACAACCCUUUGAGCCAAACCAUGCUUCUGUUUUCUUAAGUGCUGCCGAUAGAGUCUCAAAAAUCUCUCCUGGGGAUUACUUGGUUGAGAACUCAGAUGAUAGAUGUAUUUUUAACAGAAAUUCAGAGGAGUUCAUCAUUGAUUUGGUUCAAUAUGAUGCCAUUUCUGAGCUCAGACGAAUUGCAAAUUUGAUGUUCAUUUCUGGUUAUGGUGAUGAAUGUUCUCUGGCAUAUAUUAACCUUCGAAGAGAUGCCUGGAAUGAGUGUCUAUUCAAUCUUGAAAAGGAGAAACCGAGAAUUGAAGAUGUGCUAUGCUCGAAGAGGGACAACUUCAAAUCAGAGUUGGACAGCAUAAAAUUGAAGAACAAGAGAUGGAUUCACAAUAUGAAGAUCUUUGUCCGUGUCUAUCUUGCUAGUGAGAAAUGGCUCUCGGGACAGAUUUUUGGGGAACUCAGAACGGUUAAUUUGGUUUCUUUGUCUGGGGAUUUAAUCUUGCUGCUAUUUAAGUAUUUUGGGAGAGACAUAUCUAUUCAUCCCCUAAAUCCAGAAAAGCUGUUCCAUAAUCUUGACAUAUACAAGUUCAUGGCUGGUCUUCAUCCAAAUGUAGAUUCUUUGUACUCCGACGAGGAUAUUUCUCGAGUUAGAGUUCACAGUGAUGAGGUUCUAAGGGGAUUGGCUGACUCUGUGAGGCGAGCACUUCAUGAAUUUCCGAAUUACGUUGUUACAUACAUGACGAGAAAUUCUUUUGCGAACAUUCCAUCUGAAGGAAUUCACCCUCUCACCGAAUAUGUAAUGAAGUACAUCAGUACUCUCGCUGACUACAGCGAGACCCUUAAUUUUCUCCUCAAGGACUAUUAUGGGGAAGAUCCCAUGUUAGCAUCCCCUUGCAAGAGUUCAGAUGUGGAAGAAGAGAACAUAAGUGGAAGCACUUGCGACUUUUCCCCAAUUGCUCACUCCUUUCGAUCAAAUGCCUCAAUUCUAAAAUGGCUUUACAGUGGCUCCCCGAUGAGUUCAGCUAUGCAAGAAGAGAGCAUAAGUGGAGAUACAUCCAACUUUUCCCCAAUUUCUCUCCAACUGGGAUUGGAAGCUUCACUUCUAAAAUGGCCAUCCAAUUGCUUCCAGCUAAGCACGGCUACAGAGGAAGAGAGCAUAAAUGGAGGCACAUGCGACAUUUCCCCUGUGGCUCUCUACUUUCGAUUGGUUGCUUCCAUUUUAGAAUACGAGCUCUUCAACAGGGCCAAAUCAUUUAAGGAUGCUUCUUUACAGCACGUAUUCUUGACGAACAACAUGCAUUACAUGGCACAAGAAGUUGUGAAUUCGAAUCUUCAGUCUAUACUUGGAGAUGGGCGGAUUCGACGGGAUGCCAUGGAUGAGUUUCUCCUUAUUCUUGAAAUCGAGAAACUGAGCAUUGAAGAUGUGCUGAGAUUGGAGUGGGGCAGCUUAAAUUCCAAGAUCAGGAGAUGGGUUCGGACCAUGAAGAUCUUUGUGCGGGUCUAUCUUGCUAGUGAGAAAUGUCUAUCAGAACAGAUUUUUGGGGAUUUGGGAACAGUUAAUUUGGUUUCUUUUGCUGAGGUUUCAAAGGCUUCAAUGCUGCGGCUUUUAAAUUUUGGUGAGGCUGUAUCUAUUGGUCCCCAUAAACCAGAAGAGCUGUUUCGUAUACUUGAUAUGUAUAAGGUCCUAGCAGAUCUUCUUCCAGACAUAGAUUCCUUAUAUGCAGAUGAGAGUGGUGCUCGUGUUAGAAUUGACUGUCGAGAAGUUCCAAGGAGAUUGGGGGACUCUGUAAGGGCAGCAUUUCUCGAAUUUGAAAAUGCUAUUUCAACAAACACCUCAACAAACCCUAUUGCAGGAGGUGGAAUUCAUCCUCUCACCAAGUAUGUUAUGAAUUACCUCAAUGCUCUCACUGGCUACCGGGAAACUCUCAAUUUUCUCCUCAAGGACCAUGAUGGAGAGGAUACCAUGUGAUUGUCCCCUGACAUUAAUCCAUCUACAGAAGAAGAGAACGCUAGAGAAGGUGCAUGCGAUGGUUCACCACUGGCUCUCCACUUCCGAUCAGUUGCUUCAAUUCUAGAAUGCAAUCUUGAUGACAAGGCCAAGCUAUAUAGAGAUGCUUCUUUGCAGCACAUAUUCUUGAUGAACAACAUUCAUUACAUGGCUCAAAAAGUUGUGAAUUCGAAUCUUUAGUCUAUACUUGGAGAUGGGUGGAUUCGAAAGCACAACUGGAAAUUCCAGCAGCACGAGAUAAACUAUGAAAGAAAUACAUGGAGUUCUAUCCUCGCUAUACUGAAGGAAGAGGGGAAUUCCAAUUCUUCAAGAACUCUUCUCAAGGAAAGGUUUCGGAAUUUUUAUACUGCUUUUGAGGAGGUUUACAGGACACAGACAGCGUGGUCAAUCCCAAAUGCUCAUCUACGAGAAGAUUUGCGAAUCUCAACAUCCCUCAAGGUGAUCCAAGCCUAUCGGACAUUUGUCGGAAGACACACAAAUCAAAUUAGUGACAAGCACAUCAAGUACAGUGCAGAUGAUUUACAGAAUUACUUGUUGGAUCUCUUUGAGGGGUCUCAAAGAUCAUUGCACAAUCCCCACAGGAGAUCAUAGAGUCAUUUCUUAAAACCUGGGGUUUAGGCUUUUAGUUUUAUACCUCCUCUGCUAUUGUAAUAUUUUCUUUCUCCCCCGCUCUUCUAACUUGCACUUGAUCGAUAAACGGGCCAAGGUGGCCUGGCUCGUACCAUCACUAGCCAAAAUGCCUGAGAAAUCUCGGUUCUACAAUAUGUAAUGUAUGAGUGGAAUAAAAAUAAAAAAAAAAGGUUUAUCCGGUAUCAUUGUCCUCGUUGGCUAACAUAAACUGGUUAGAUUGUGAUUGCACAAUCCCCACAGCAGUUUUGGUUGCAUCUUUGUCCAUUAUAUAUUAACCUCGAGGACAGCUUUUGUUUCCAAUGUCGCCUGCUCUCUCUGUUCGAUGAAUAAACACCACGGUAUAAUUUCUUUAUUUUCUUAGAAAUAUCGAAAUAAAAUUUCCCAGAAGACAAACUCUGUAACCAUAUCACCACAGCAAGGCUUCGAUUGAAUGCUGGGAUGUAACACAUAACUGAUCCAAUCAGGUACGAUGGCGGUGCCCAGUUCAUUAACUGGGCUGCCAUUUGGAACACGUUCCUUGCAAGUUGCUGCUGCAGUUGCCAGCUAACAUAUGGUGACCUCCUGGAAGGAGUCACUAAAUGGAAGAACUGGGGCCAUGAGGUUGACUGCAAUCCCCGAUCUCUGAACCUUACCAGCCACAUGAACCCUCAACGCAGCAGACAGGCAAUUCGUUCUAAAAUGGUUGUUGUGUCUUUGAUAUAUCAAAAUUGGCUGCUUAAAACGAGGACCGAGUUGAGAGGGAAAGUUGAGUGUUCUUGAGAAAUGGUUUUGUCUGCAAGCACAUAUGAUGUUAGUCCUCCUCCUACACAAGGAAGGAUGGCAGCAAGAAAACAAGAUCAGGUGGGGACAUUUGCAAUUAUAUACAUGUUAGCCCAUCACUGUCUGGAUUCUGGAAAGAUGAUAACAGGGUAGAGCGCGUUAUUCUCUUAUGAAAUUUCCCAAGUGAAAGAGACUUGAACAUGAGCAAAUUGAACGCCCUCCCUGUUAAAUAAAAGCAGUCUUUAUGACGCAACGUCAUCUGAUACAUCCCUAGAAAAUGAACUUGGAGCUCCAAGUUUGCCACUCUCAUAGAUCAUGUGUUGGUCCGAGAAUAACUUGUGUAAUCAAGAUAUAAAAACAUGUUGAUAUUAGAAAUAAUAUUUAAAAAUAAAAAAAAUAUAUUAUUUUAAUAUAUUUAUAAGUAAAAAAUACUAUAAAAAUCACUUUCCAAACACAUUUUUUUUUUUUCCAAUUUAAAUCAAGUUUCAUCUUAACUUGUUUUUAGAUUUGAUGCUAGAAAGUCCAAAUGAUGCAUUUGGGUUUGGAUUAAACUUGCGAUUUUUUAUUAUUGGGCCUUCUAUCUGUUCUUCGUUAGUAUUUUGAUGGAUGUUCCUUCGCACCUGUACUCCUUCGGGCCUUAUUAAUCCAAGAAACUUUCCCUCCGAAUCAAAGAGCAGAGAAAUUUCCAAACAAGAGACCUCAAUCAAUCAAAGAAGUAAAAAAGAAUAUUUGUUUCACUUUUUGGGGGUUAAAUGCAUGUGAAAGUGCCACGCACUGCGAGGAAACUUCCUGUUUCCCUGUCGGAAAGAAAUGCCGUAGUAUCCGCGUAAGACCAUUAUGGCUGAACUCCGGUCAACACUUUUUACUGUAUAGAAAAAGAAGAGCCGAGAGAGACGGUGGCUCCAGUGUCUGCUUAAGUUGAUAAAAAGCUCCAAAGCUCCGAAAGAAAGGUCAGUUUUAGCUUUUAGUAUUCUCAGGAAAUUAAAUCGGAUGCUUGCUUGUUCAUCUCUUGACUGCAAAAUCUAAAAUCUGCUUUGUCCUUCCAUUCCUUGCUUUGUUUGAUUGUCUUUAGCUUGUCUUGGCCCUGUUCAUUUCAGAUAUGUUUGUGUUUAUUAUGCCUUCAUAUGCCAUGAUCUUGAGACUGUGAGCAUGUAUCAUUGAUUCUUAAAGAUUGAAUAAUGAUCCUCUCAAGAAAAUUAAUAAUAAAUAAAACAAAAUAACAUGUCUAUAUAUAUAUAAGGAGAUAAAUAUUCUCUUUAUAUGGAGUUUUUUUUAUAAAGAAAACAAUUUUGACAUUUUGAAUUUCUUAAAAGAGAAGAUAAUAUAUUUAAUAAUUAUUAAUAAUUUCUUUUUAAUAUAUGUGAUGAUUAUUAAUAAAAUUUAAAGAUAUUUUUGUCAAAAUUUAUGGAAAUGCACGCGCGCGCGCCCAUACACACACAAGUGAAUUGGGUUUCAAUGUUUUUUUUAUCACUGUUGAGCUGUCUACUGAUACGGUUGAUCAUAGUGAUUCUUUCUAGUGUACUGAAAGUUCUCAUUGUUCUGGUCUUAAGCUUAUGCAAUUAUUUUCAUUUUCUUUCCUGUAAUCAGUUCUUGAAUGGCGGUGCUUAAUUGCAACAAGCACUCAAGAUUUCCUUCACUGGUUACUUGCUAGAGAACUCCAGCAAAAGAUUUUAUAUUCCGGUUUGGAAAGUUAAUGUUCUAAAUUUCCAGCCAACAGACUAGCAUUUAGUGCUGUGAUUUUUGGGAAUCGAAGUCUAUAGCUGAGAGUUUAGAGGCUACUUUAGCAACUUGAAAGGUAAUCUUAGAGUUGUAGUUGAAAUUCAGGAUUUGUGGUUCAAUGUUCUGAUUAUUGACUAUCCAGGUUGUGAUUGUUGGUGAUCUUCGAUUUGUAAUCUAUGGGGGACCCUGACAUGGUGGUUCCAGAAUUGGAAGGGGAAGGAAACCUUAUUGCUGCGGUGAAGCAAACUAUGAUGGCAUUAAGAUCAAGAAAGAAUCUUACAGAUGACGAGAUGCAGAUUUUGGGCGACCUUCAUACCCAAUUAACUACCACAAUCACAAUCGGCGACAGAAAGGCUGAUGAAAAAAACAAGAUUGAAGAAAGGCUAAAUGUUAUUCAGGAGAAGAUUAUGAGUUGGGAUAGACAUUGGCCUAUGAUCUGGGACUCGCAUCUUGAUCAAGCUACUGCGUAUCUGAAUGCUGCUGGUGAAGUCCGAGAGCUGAAUGAAAGACUGGAGACUUUGUUGUGUCGGAAUGAUAACAGUAAAAAGAAGAUGCUACAGAGGGCUCAAAAAGUUCUUCAACUGGCAAUGAAAAGGGUUGAGGAGGUGUUCAAGCACACGCUUGUUGAAAACAGGCAACCCUUUGAGCCAAACCAUGCUUCUGUUUUCUUAAGUGCUGCCGAUAGAGUCUCAAAAAUCUCUCCUGGGGAUUACUUGGUUGAGAACUCAGAUGAUAGAUGUAUUUUUAACAGAAAUUCAGAGGAGUUCAUCAUUGAUUUGGUUCAAUAUGAUGCCAUUUCUGAGCUCAGACGAAUUGCAAAUUUGAUGUUCAUUUCUGGUUAUGGUGAUGAAUGUUCUCUGGCAUAUAUUAACCUUCGAAGAGAUGCCUGAAUGAGUGUCUAUUCAAUCUUGAAAAGGAGAAACCGAGAAUGAGAUGUGCUAUGCUCGAAGAGGGACAACUUCAAAUCAGAGUUGGACAGCAUAAAAUUGAAGAACAAGAGAUGGAUUCACAAUAUGAAGAUCUUUGUCCGUGUCUAUCUUGCUAGUGAGAAAUGGCUCUCGGGACAGAUUUUUGGGGAACUCAGAACGGUUAAUUUGGUUUCUUUGUCUGGGGAUUUAAUCUUGCUGCUAUUUAAGUAUUUGGGAAAGACAUAUCUAUUCAUCCCCUAAAUCCAGAAAAGCUGUUCCAUAAUCUUGACAUAUACGAUGUCCUGGCUGGUCUUCAUCCAAAUGUAGAUUCUUUGUACUCCGACAAGGAUAUUUCUCGAGUUAGAGUUAACAGUGAUGAGGUUCUAAGGGAUUGGCUUACUCUGUGAGGCGAGCACUUCAUGAAUUUCCGAAUUACAUUGUUACAUACAUUACAGAGAUUCUUUUGCGAACAUUCCAUCUGAAGGAAUUCACCCUCUCACCGAAUAUGUAAUGAACUACAUCAGUACUCUCGCUGACUACAGCGAGACCCUAAAUUUUCUCCUCAGGGACUAUGAUGGGAAGAUCCCAUGUUAGCAUCCCCUUGCAAGAGUUCAGAUGUGGAAGAAGAGAACAUAAGUGGAAGCACGUGCGACUUUCCCCAAUUGCUCACUCCUUUCGAUCAAAUGCCUCAAUUCUAAAAUGGUUUACAGUGGCUCCCCGAUGAGUUCAGCUAUGCAAGAAGAGAGCAUAAGUGGAGAUACAUCCAACUUUUCCUCAAUUUCUCUCCAACUGGGAUUGAUGCUUCACUUCUAAAAUGGCCAUCCAAUUGCUUCCUACUAAGCACGGCUAUAGAGGAAGAGAGCAUAAAUGGAGGCACAUGCGACAUUUCCCUAGUGGCUCUCUACUUUCGAUUGGUUGCUUCCAUUUUAGAACACGAGCUCUUCAACAGGGCCAAGUCAUUUAAAGAUGCUUCUUUACAGCACGUAUUCUUGAUGAACAACAUGCAUUACAUGGCACAAGAAGUUGUGAAUUCGAAUCUUCAGUCUAUACUUGGAGAUGGGUGGAUUCGACGGGAUGCCUUGGAUGAGUUUCUCCUUAUUCUUGAAAUGGAGAAACUGAGCAUUGAAGAUGUGCUGAGAUUGGAGUGGGGCAGCUUAAAUUCCAAGAUCAGGAGAUGGGUUCGGUCUAUGAAGAUCUUUGUGCGGGUCUAUCUUGCUAGUGAGAAAUGUCUAUCUGAACAGAUUUUUGGGGAUCUGGGAACAGUUAAUUUGGUUUCUUUUGCUGAGGUUUCAAAGGCUUCAAUGCUGCGGCUUUUAAAUUUUGGUGAAGCUGUAUCUAUUGGUCCUCAUAAACCAGAAAAGCUGUUUCCUAUACUUGAUAUGUAUGAGGUCCUAGCAGAUCUUCUUCCAGACAUAGAUUCCUUAUAUGCAGAUGAGAGUGGUGCUCGUGUUCGAAUUGACUGCCAAGAAGUUCUACGGAGAUUGGGGGACUCUGUAAGGGUAGUAUUUCUCGAAUUUGAAAAUGCUAUUUCAACAAACACCUCAACAAACCCUAUUGCAGGAGGUGGAGUUCAUCCCCUCACCAAGUAUGUUAUGAAUUACCUCAAUGCUCUCACUGGCUACCGGGAAACUCUCAAUUUUCUCCUCAAGGACCAAGAUGGAGAGGAUACCAUGUCAUUGUCCCCUGACAUUAAUCCAUCUACAGAAGAAGAGAACGCUAGAGAAGGUGCAUGCGAUGGUUCACCACUGGC